UCAGCUACAACCCAACCUCUGGAUUAAAGGAUCUUCAAUAUCUGUUUAGCAAGAAAAUAAUCUGUUGUCCUGGUGCAUCACAGUCACAGGUGUUACCCCCCCUUUUUGUCAAAAAUGUUGCCAAAGCAACACUUUAAAUUAUAGACCAAAAUAAACAGAAUUACUCACAAAUGACAGAACCACAAUCUUGAUUUUACUUCAUAGUUUCAAU
rnacentral:lncRNA from 1 species